rnacentral:pre_miRNA from 1 species
CGUGCACCAGGGGGGUCCCUCAGCCUGGCCUGUGGGAAUCGGGGCCAGAGGGCGCAGGCCAGGCUGAGGGACCCCACCAGUGCACA